rnacentral:rRNA from 1 species
UACGGGGGGGCGAAGCGUUGUUCGGAAUUACUGGGCGUAAAGGCUCGUAGGCGGCCAACUAAGUCAUACGUGAAAUCCCUCGGCUUAACCGGGGAACUGCGUCUGAUACUGGAUGGCUUGAGUUCGGGAGAGGGAUGCGGAAUUCCAGGUGUAGCGGUGAAAUGCGUAGAUAUCUGGAGGAACACCGGUGGCGAAGGCGGCAUCCUGGACCGAUACUGACGCUGAGGAGCGAAAGCCAGGGGAGCAAACGGG